rnacentral:rRNA from 1 species
CCUACGGGAGGCUGCAGUGGGGAAUAUUGGACAAUGGGGGGAACCCUGAUCCAGCCAUGCCGCGUGUGUGAAGAAGGCCCUCGGGUUGUAAAGCACUUUCUGUGAGGAAGAACGCCUGGUGGUUAAUACCCAUCAGGAAAGACAUCACUCACAGAAGAAGCACCGGCUAACUCCGUGCCAGCAGCCGCGGUAAUACGGAGGGUGCGAGCGUUAAUCGGAAUUACUGGGCGUAAAGCGCGCGUAGGUGGCUUGAUAAGCCGGUUGUGAAAGCCCCGGGCUCAACCUGGGAACGGCAUCCGGAACUGUCAAGCUAGAGUGCAGGAGAGGAAGGUAGAAUUCCCGGUGUAGCGGUGAAAUGCGUAGAGAUCGGGAGGAAUACCAGUGGCGAAGGCGGCCUUCUGGACUGACACUGACACUGAGGUGCGAAAGCGUGGGUAGCAAACAGGAUUAGAUACCCUUGUAGUC